rnacentral:rRNA from 1 species
GCGAACGCUGGCGGCAGGCCUCACACCUGCAAGUCGAACGAACUCUUCGGAGUUAGUGGCGGACGGGUGAGUAACACGUGGGAACGUGCCUUUUGGUUCGGAAUAACUCAGGGAAACCUGUGCUAAUACCGAAUGUGCCCUUCGGGGGAAAGAUUUAUCGCCAUUAGAGCGGCCCGCGUCUGAUUAGCUAGUUGGUGAGGUAACGGCUCACCAAGGCGACGAUCAGUAGCUGGUCUGAGAGGAUGACCAGCCACACUGGGACUGAGACACGGCCCAGACUCCUACGGGAGGCAGCAGUGGGGAAUCUUGCGCAAUGGGCGAAAGCCUGACGCAGCCAUGCCGCGUGAAUGAUGAAGGUCUUAGGAUUGUAAAAUUCUUUCACCGGGGACGAUAAUGACGGUACCCGGAGAAGAAGCCCCGGCUAACUUCGUG